UGUGCGUGAUGACAUCAUACUACGUCGACAGAUCCCGCCUCUCCUUACGUGACUUUCUCAUUCCUGUCAGCAGAGCGUUUUUAUGCUGAGUUGCACUUGAACAGGAAUUAAACACAAAAAACACCCAAAGAUGACCGACCGGACUAUGCAAGCGGCUCGAUGCCCAACAGACGAACUGUCGUUGACCAACUGUGCCGUCAUUAAUGAGAAGGAGCCACAGUUUGAACAACAUGUGACUGUGCGCAAUUUAGCCCACGUGUAUGUGUUCACCUUGAAGAAACAUCCCAGCGUUAAUGCCGGGACCAUUGCCUUCAGCCUGCCACAGAGAAAAUGGGCCGGCCUGUCGAUUGGACAAGAAGUUAGAGUAACAAACUACAAGUUUGACAAGUCCAAACAGUGUAUAAGCACCAUGACCGUGGAAAUUGACUUCCUGCAGAAGAAGAGCGUGGACAGCAACCCCUACGACUCGGACAACAUGGCCAGCGAGUUCAUCCAGCACUUCAACAACCAGGCCUUCAGCGUCGGCCAGCAGCUGGUGUUAAGUUUCUGCGAUAAGCUGUUUAGCAUAAAUAUAAAGGAUAUUGAGGCCAUGGACCCGAGCAUCCUGAAGGCAGAACACACCCCUGGCAAGAAACCGAAGAUUGAGAUCGGUUUGUUGCUGGGAAACAGUCAGGUGGUUUUUGAGAAGUCAGAGAGCUCAUCCAUGACCCUGAUCGGGAAAUCCAAGACCAGAGAGUCUCGCCAGUCCAUCAUCAGCCCGGACUGGAACUUCGAGAGGAUGGGUAUCGGCGGCCUUGACAAGGAGUUCUCUGACAUCUUCCGUAGAGCGUUCGCCUCGCGAGUCUUCCCUACAGACAUCGUAGAACAGAUGGGCUGUAAGCACGUGAAGGGAAUCCUGCUGUACGGACCCCCAGGCUGCGGUAAAACCCUGAUGGCACGACAGAUUGGCAAGAUGCUCAAGGCCCGCGAGCCAAAGAUCGUCAACGGGCCCGAGAUUCUCAACAAGUACGUCGGAGAGUCUGAGGCCAACGUCAGGAAGCUGUUUGCAGACGCGGAGGACGAACAGAAGAGGCUCGGUGCCAACAGCGGCCUUCACAUCAUCAUACUCGAUGAGAUCGACGCCAUCUGUAAACAGCGUGGCAGCAUGGCGGGCAGCACGGGAGUCCACGACACCGUGGUCAACCAGCUGCUGUCCAAGAUAGACGGAGUGGAGCAGCUCAACAACAUCCUGGUCAUAGGUAUGACCAACAGGCCUGACCUGAUAGAUGAUGCCUUGUUGAGGCCGGGAAGACUGGAGGUGAAGAUGGAGAUCGGGUUACCGGAUGAAAAGGGCCGCAUUCAGAUCCUGAACAUCCACACAGCAAAGAUGCGUCUGCACGAACUGCUGUGCGGUGACGUUGACAUUAAAGAGCUGGCGUCGGAGACGAAGAACUACAGCGGUGCCGAGCUGGAGGGUCUGGUCAGGGCUGCACAGUCCACUGCCAUGAACAGACACAUAAAGGCCAGUAGCACAGUGGAGGUAAACAUCGAGACUGCAGAGAAGCUGCAGGUCUGCAGACUGGACUUCAUGGCCUCGCUGAAUAACGACAUCAAACCUGCGUUUGGUACCAAUCAGGAGGACUACGCCAGCUACAUCAUGAACGGGAUAAUCCGAUGGGGUGACCCGGUGUCGGCGGUCCUGGAGGACGGGGAGCUGCUGGUGCAGCAGACGAAGAACAGCGAACGCACACCGCUGGUCUCUGUGCUACUGGAGGGUCCACCUAACAGUGGGAAAACAGCGCUGGCUGCUAAGAUCUCUGAAGACUCCCAGUUUCCCUUUAUCAAGAUCUGCUCCCCCGACAAAAUGAUCGGACACUCGGAGAUCGCCAAAUGCCAAGCCAUCAAAAAGAUAUUUGAAGAUGCCUACAAGUCCCAGCUGAGCUGUGUGGUUGUGGAUGACAUUGAACGCUUGUUAGACUACGUCCCGAUUGGCCCUCGUUUCUCCAACCUGGUGUUACAAGCUUUACUGGUGCUGCUGAAGAAACCUCCUCCAAAGGGUCGUAAGCUGUUGAUCAUCGGCACCACAAGUCGUAAAGACGUCCUCCAGGAAAUGGAGAUGCUGAAUGCUUUCAGCACCACCAUCCACAUUCCCAACAUCUCGAGGGGAGAGCAGCUGGUCGAGGCCCUGGAGCUGCUGGGCAGUUUUCAGGAUGGGGAGCGGGUCACCAUAGCUAAAGCUGUGAAGGGACAAGAUAUGUGGAUCGGCAUAAAGAAGUUGCUCAUGCUGAUUGAAAUGGCCAUCCAGAUGGAUGCUGGCUACAGAGUUACCAAGUUCCUGAGUCUACUGAAGGAAGAAGGAAGACUGGGUUGUAAUACGUCUAUCUAGACUCAGUGGAGCCACAUAGUGAAAAAGAGGCAUCCUUCAACGUUAGCUGGCUAAUCCUGCUCUGUGAGAUGCGCCCAUGAGGACGGGCUGCCCUGGGUGAUGAUGAUGAUGAUGAUGAACAACAAAAACAACUUGAACAACUUCUCAACUUGCAGCCGGAGCUUUGCGUCUCAUCGCAGCCUCAGAGACUUAUGUUGCGGAGGAUCGGAAGCCUGAAAGAGGCUGGCAGGAGGAAGCAAGCGAGAGAUCAUUUCCAUCUCUCUCUCUGCAUCCUUCCCUUCCGUCCCUGAAGCUCGGCGCGCUUCUCUCUGCACUGCAGCUUUCAGCAGCAGCAGCAGCAGCCGACCAGGCAUCCUCCUCCUCUCCACCACUAUGUGUGAACAUGUAAAAUAAGAGAAACGAGCAGUGUAUGUGGUAUCUGUGUAUAUUGCAUUUGCAGAAGACUAGUGCUGUGAUCUCCAUGUGACGCACUCCGUUGGGAUUUUAUAUGUAAAAGGAAAAAAUACAAUUUCUAUGGCAAGUAGAUGUGCAUGCACGAACACUAAUCAUAACACUGUUUAUAUUUGUAUGCACAGAUUUGUAAUCUGAUCAUUCCAGGACACGGUGGCUCCAUCACUUAAAGAUCUCACUUUGUUCUUAUCGUUUAUACUUGCUCAUGUCUGAUCUUUUUAUUUUAUGAAUAAAUUAAUUCUAUUACUAACAAGAAA